rnacentral:rRNA from 1 species
CCUACGGGUGGCAGCAGUGGGGAAUAUUGCACAAUGGGCGCAAGCCUGAUGCAGCCAUGCCGCGUGUGUGAAGAAGGCCUUCGGGUUGUAAAGCACUUUCAGCGGGGAGGAAGGCGUUAAGGUUAAUAACCUUGUCGAUUGACGUUACCCGCAGAAGAAGCACCGGCUAACUCCGUGCCAGCAGCCGCGGUAAUACGGAGGGUGCAAGCGUUAAUCGGAAUUACUGGGCGUAAAGCGCACGCAGGCGGUCUGUCAAGUCGGAUGUGAAAUCCCCGGGCUCAACCUGGGAACUGCAUUCGAAACUGGCAGGCUAGAGUCUUGUAGAGGGGGGUAGAAUUCCAGGGGUAGCGGUGAAAUGCGUAGAGAUCUGGAGGAAUACCGGUGGCGAAGGCGGCCCCCUGACAAAGACUGACGCUCAGGUGCGAAAGCGUGGGGAGCAAACAGGAUUAGAUACCCUAGUAGUC